rnacentral:lncRNA from 1 species
GGACCUUUCGAAAUUCUCACUGGUACGUUGGCCCAGGCACGGUACAGUAAUGGCUCUGUCAGCUGUCAGCCGCUUUUAGCCGCCUGCGGUGGCGAGUGGGACACGUGGCGAGCGUGGGUCGGCCUGGGGAGAUCCGCAAUCAUUAUAGCACCGGAUCCCAGGGUCUAUUUAAACCCGCAUUUCCGCCUUCAGGAGUUUCAUUCUACCUGAGAG